GGAAGGCAAAGAUGGCUGGGAGAACACAGUGCAGCCUCCAGCACCUUGCCAGUUUCUUCUGGGUUUGAGCAAGAAAGGUGGGCUCUGGUCCCAGCACUUCACGCUGGAUGCGGGGAAGCAGAGCUCAGAAGCAUGUCGGGGAAGCCCAGGCUUACCUACUUUAAUGGAAGGGGGCGGAUGGAGGCCAUCCGAUGGCUGUUGGCUGCAGCCGGCGUGGAGUUUGAAGAAAUUUUUUUGGAAACAAAAGAGCAGUACGAAAAGCUAAUCAAAGAUGGAGUCCUGAUGUUUCAGCAAGUGCCCCUGGUUGAGAUUGAUGGGAUGAAGAUGGUGCAGACCAGAGCCAUCCUCAGCUACAUAGCAGGGAAAUACAACCUCUAUGGGAACGACUUGAAGGAGAGAGCCCUUAUUGACAUGUAUGUAGAAGGAAUAACAGAUCUGAUGCAAACGAUUUUGAUGUUUCCUUUCUCUCCACCUGAGGCAAAGGAGAAAAAUCUUGACUCAAUUAAGGAGAAGGCAACUAACAGGUACUUCCCAGUCUUUGAAAAGGUUCUGAAAGAACAUGGCCAAGACUUUCUUGUGGGCAACAAAUUCAGCUGGGCAGAUGUUCAGCUAAUUGAAGCCAUUUUAGCAGUGGAGGAGAAAAUACCUGCUGUGCUGUCGGGGUUUCCUCAGUUGCAGGAGUGUGGGCUCUUCAAGGAACUGCCACUAUCCAUAUGCUUGUUUGGCAUCAAGGACAAGAGGGAAUAGAUUGAGUUGUUGUGUGCUCCUGACUAAAUCUGUUCAGGUAUAGCUGUCCCUCUUUCAGAGGCUUUUAAAAUAAGAAUGAGCAAUGUGCCUACAAUUAAGAAGUUUCUGCAGCCUGGCAGCCCAAGGAAACCCCCACCGGAUGAAUGUUAUGUAGAAACUGUGCGGAAGGUUUUGAAGAUAUGAACACCUUGAUACCUUCACUAAGACUCAAAAUACUGAAAAAAACAAUCCCAAAAAUUCAAACCCUUAAGGGAAGUAGGAAGCUCAAUAAAUUAUUAUCAUUGUAGCUAAAACCAAUGGUAAAACUAACAAACAAAUAAAAAACAACCCACCCAAAACUGAAAUAAAGUAUUCUAAUUACUCUGGCAAUGUAA